UUCUGUUGUCUCAUCCAUUCUUUUAGUCUAAUUCUUUUUUCAUGUUUUCUCAACCCCUGACAAUUUAAAGAACAUAUGUGUAAUAGAUUAAGUGACAUCUUGGUUGUUUUUUUUAAAAGUAUUCGAUGAUAAAUAAAUAAACAAAAAUAAAACAUACAGGUAUUUACAACUAUAGAAAUUAGAGACAAAAUAAAUGACACACAUAUAUCAUCAAUGACAGAUUUAACCUUCACCCUGUGAGUUGCAAUAUAUAUACAUGUACGCACAUACAUUUAAUUCCAUAUUGACCGACUUUGAUAGGUUUCCACCUGUUUCUAUAUUUAGAAUCAUUGACUGAUAAAAUAUAUCGACCUUCACAUGUGUAACAAUUGAUUUCCACGAGCAUCGACACUAUAUUAACCGGCAUACCUUACAUUGAAAUAUAUAAUUGUGUUGGAUGUAUAACAAAUGUUUCUAAAUGGUUUAACCAUUAGUAACUGAUUUGCAGUUCGUUUUAAUAUUGUGUUGUUACACCACUGUCAAACGUUAAAAUGACUCAUGGAAGUGCCAAACGAUCACAAACAUGUGAAAACCCACUCAUAUGCUUGAGAUGCCUGUCCGGUGCUACAAGCCUGUAACUCAGUGGGUGUCAUUGGUUCAUGUCUGUCUUAUUUGUUUUAAUAAAUUGUAAUGUUGUAAAUGAGA